GACGAACGCUGGCGGCGUGCCUAAUACAUGCAAGUUGAACGGUGAGGGCCUGUAUUUGUGGGGUGCGCGUGUGGCGCACGGGUGAGAGUCACGCGAGUGAACUCUCCCUGUCUUUGGGGUACCUUCUUGAGACUGGGGCUCUAAUCCGGUAUGAGCACCUUCUACAUGGGGUGUGUUUUUAAACUUCGGCGGUUGGGGAUGGACCCGCGGGUUAUCAGCUUGUUGGUGGGGUAGUGGCUUACCAGGGCUUCGACGGGUAGCCGGCCUGCGAGGGUGACCGGCCACAUUGGGACUGAGAUACGGCCCAGACUCCUACGGGAGGCAGCAGUGGGGAAUAUUGCACAAUGGGCGGAAGCCUGAUGCAGCAACGCCGCGUGCGGGAUGACGGCCUUCGGGUUGUAAACCGCUUUCGCCUGUGACGAAGCGUGAGUGACGGUAAUGGGUAAAGAAGCACCGGCUAACUACGUG
rnacentral:rRNA from 1 species